rnacentral:rRNA from 1 species
GAAUUCGAUUCUCCUGAAACGGGUGGUAAUGCCGGAUGCUCCAGUCCAUCGCAUGGUGGUCUGGAAAGAUUUCAUCGGUAUGGGAUGGGGUCGCGUCCUAUCAGGUAGUCGGCGGGGUAACGGCCCACCGAGCCUACGACGGGUAGCCGGCCUGAGAGGGCGACCGGCCACAUUGGGACUGAGAUACGGCCCAGACUCCUACGGGAGGCAGCAGUGGGGAAUAUUGCACAAUGGGCGCAAGCCUGAUGCAGCGACGCCGCGUGCGGGAUGACGGCCUUCGGGUUGUAAACCGCUUUUGAUCGGGAGCAAGCCUUCGGGUGAGUGUACCUUUCGAAUAAGCACCGGCUAACUACGUGCCAGCAGCCGCGGUAAUACGUAGGGUGCAAGCGUUAUCCGGAAUUAUUGGGCGUAAAGGGCUCGUAGGCGGUUCGUCGCGUCCGGUGUGAAAGUCCAUCGCUUAACGGUGGAUCCGCGCCGGGUACGGGCGGGCUUGAGUGCGGUAGGGGAGACUGGAAUUCCCGGUGUAACGGUGGAAUGUGUAGAUAUCGGGAAGAACACCAAUCACUAGUG